rnacentral:rRNA from 1 species
GCUAGUAAUCGUAGGUCAGCAUACUACGGUGAAUACGUUCCCGGGCCUUGUACACACCGCCCGUCAAACCAUGAGAGUUGGCAACACCCGAAGUCGGUAGUCUAACCGCAAGGAGGACGCCGCCGAAGGUGGGGUUGAUGAUUAGGGUUAAGUCGUAACAAGGUAUC